CAAAAACAUGUCUUUUUGAUUAUAAUUUAAAGUCUUGCCUGCCCAAUGAUUAAUUUAAUGGCCGCAGUAUUUUGACUGUGCAAAGGUAGCAUAAUCAUUAGUUUUUUAAUUGAAAGCUGGAAUGAAUGGUUUGAUGAAAAAUAAACUGUCUCUUUGUAAAUUCUUUAGAAUUUUAAUUUUAAGUGAAAAAGCUUAAAUUUUAUAAAAAGACGAGAAGACCCUAUAGAGUUUUAUAAUUUAAAUUAUUAAGGAUUUUUUGAAUUGUUUUUUUUUGAUGGUUUUAAUUAUUUUAUUGGGGUGAUAUAAAAAUUUAAUAAACUUUUUAUUUGUUUUUACAUUUAUUUAUGAUUAUUUGAUCCUUUAUUUAGGAUUAUAAGAUAAAAUUACCUUAGGGAUAACAGCGUAAUUUUUUUGGAAAGUUCUUAUUUAUAAAAAAGUUUGCGACCUCGAUGUUGGAUUAAAAUUUAUUUUUGGUGUAGAAGCUAAAAUAUUAGGUCUGUUCGACCUUUAAAAUUUUACAUGAUCU
rnacentral:rRNA from 1 species